rnacentral:rRNA from 1 species
UACGGAGGGUGCGAGCGUUGUUCGGAAUCACUGGGCGUAAAGCGCGUGUAGGCGGCUCUAUAAGUCUGGUGUGAAAGCCCGGGGCUUACCCCCGGAAGUGCACUGGAAACUGCAGGGCUAGAGUACCGGAGAGGAAGGUGGAAUUCCUGGUGUAGCGGUGAAAUGCGCAGAUAUCAGGAGGAACACCAAUGGCGAAGGCAGCUCGCUGGGACGGUACUGACGCUGAGACGCGAAAGCGUGGGGAGCAAACAGG